GGAGGAGUGGCAGAGCGGUUGAAUGCGGCGGUCUUGAAAACCGUUGGGCGGCUCGUCCGUCUCGAGAGUUCGAAUCUCUCCUCCUCCGCCA
rnacentral:tRNA from 1 species